rnacentral:lncRNA from 1 species
CUGGCUUCCAAAGCAAUACCUAAGAUCUGCUUCUCCUUCCAAUACUCUAAAGGUAACUCUAAUUACCUAAGCCACACCACCGUGUGGCUCACCGCCCUAGUCCCAAGCAUAAAGUUGGCCACUCAGGGCUCCAUUGCUAGUUGCUGGUCCACAAUGAACCAUGGGCUAUUGGAGAGAGCUACCUCACAGUCACUGACCAACCAAAACCGCAACAAGUGGUGGUCUCCUGCCAAGGCUUUACAUCAUAAACCUCACAACUGAAACCUCUACAUCAUAAUCCAGUUUCCCCUUCUCCUUAAUCUCCUUUACCACCCACUCCAACAGAACCCUCCACUCGAGACUCCGGG